rnacentral:rRNA from 1 species
UACGUAGGGGGCAAGCGUUAUCCGGAUCUACUGGGUGUAAAGGGAGCGUAGACGGCCAGACAAGUCUGAAGUGAAAAUCCAGCGCUUAACGUUGGAAGUGCUUUGGAAACUGCCGGGCUAGAGUGCAGGAGGGGCAGGCGGAAUUCCUAGUGUAGCGGUGAAAUGCGUAGAUAUUAGGAGGAACACCAGUGGCGAAGGCGGCCUGCUGGACUGCAACUGACGUUGAGGCUCGAAGGCGUGGGGAGCAAACAGG